GUCUUCCUGAAGAGAGAGACUGGGAAGGAUUCUUUUGUUGACCCUUCACAGCAAUGACAAGAACAGUGACUGGAAGCUGCCACCAUCCUGGAGAAUUCAUCUCCCCCCAGGAGCAGUGCUCAGCCAAUG